rnacentral:rRNA from 1 species
AAAUACAUCAUCAGUAAUAAAAUAAAAGGCAGUGGAAAAUACAUAACUGUUCUUGAAUGUGGCGAAAAAUUCGAUAAAAAGUUUCGAAAACUACUCACAGAAACGAAAGUUCGGUACAAAGCCAGUUGUGUAGACCGAAUCUACCUGACGACUGAGCUAGGGGAUGUGAGUUGAAGUCCAUGAAAGAUUCUCUCGAAGAAGCAAUCAUAUACUUCUGGGCGUAACUCUGUACAAGAAAAGAGCUGAAGAACUCGCUCAAUCUAUUUGUAAGCAUGAACAAAAGAAGAUAAACGAAGCGUGAUUAGUGAUGCGAAAUAUGUAUUUGGAAGAUACAGUAUAACUGCAGAACUGGACCCAGCUCAGUCGUCCGUCAGGCUAGACAGGAUUCAGUUUGAAGAUGCUAAACUACUAGCCCGGCAUGUAGUAGGGAAGAUCCGUCUUGCAAACAACAUCCGAAGACGCGAAUCAUGGGAGACGAAAGUACUGGUAGGACGAGUAUUACAUUCAAUCAGUAACAUCGACCAAACAGAUCUUUCCUCUGGUUAAGAGAAGGAAAAUUAUCAUCUACAGCAGUCCGAAACAUAACUGCAGCACAGGAGGGAUGUUUCAUCACCCGAUCCGAUCCGAGUAACAUAAACUCGAGCAAUAAGAACUGCCUAUCGUGCGGUAAAACCACUGAGACCAUAGAGCAUGUGUCGACGGGCUGCUCUAAAUGGUUACCGACACUAUACAUUGAUCGCCAUGACUAUAUGGCUCUAAACCUCCACUACAUAAUAUGCGAACAGCAUGAGCUUGCCCCAAAACAUUAUUCACAACGCGUGGAUACAGUAAAGGAAAAUGAUCGAGUUAAGCUGUACUGAAAGAAACCAAUACCAACUACACUGAUCAUUGGGCAUCACAAACCUGAUAUUGUAGCCUACCAAAAAGUUACUAAAAUAGCAACUAUUGCUGAGAUUGCAGUGUCAUGGUUUACAAGUAUAGAGCGGCGAAUAGAGAUAAAGAUGAACCGCUACUGCGUCAAUGGAAAUUACGAACAUGAACUUGACACUCUAUACCCUUGGGGUGAUAGUUUGUCUCGCGAACUUCAAAUCGAUGGUUGGAGUGUAGUGUACUGCAUCGUCGAUAUUUCUGACUCCAACUCCAACUCCAAAAAAAGUGUUUCUUCAACUCCAUUUCCAACUCCAAUUCCGAAAAAAUUUAUUUUUCAACUUCAACUCCAACUCCGUAAAAGAAAACUUCCCAACUCCAAUUUGAACUCCAGAAAACUCCAGGUCUUUUUUCUUGGCAGAACUGUAUCAUUAUGAUCGUUCAGGAGCUCAGACUAAAUGAUGAAAAGAUGAAUUUUUGCUCGAAAUAAAGUUCCUUAGCGUUUACUUACAUGGAACUUAACUUUUUCUCUGCUAUUUAAUGAAGGUAACAGUAAAUAUGUCAUGGAACACGUAUAAUUCGCUAGCUGAAUUAACUCCGAUAUUGAUCCAGAAAAAUUUCUAAAAAUAACUCUAGCUGAACUCCAAAGUUCGUUAUUUGCUCAACUCCAACUCCAACUCCAGAAAAUUCGUAUUUCGAAACUCCAACUCCACUCCCACUCCUGUAGAGAUGGAGUUGGAACUGGAGUAUGGAGUCCAGUGCAGCACACUAUUGAAGUGUCGUUUUUGUGCUGGUGGUCAUUGGCGCAUGUGGCGAAGUAGUCCAGGGCUUGAGCGAACAGCUAGCAAAUAGCUUGGGUAUUAGUAAAGAAAAGACAGAGGAUUGUAUCGAAAGAAUGGAAAGAAGUGCGGCCUUGGGAACCAGCAGAGUUAUCAAGAACCACUUGGCUAUGGCAAGUUAGAAAGGAGAUCUGGAAUACAGUUACUUGCUAGCAAGUAACUAAAGAGGACAGAAAGCGGACAAGGUUAUGGCGAGGUCCUCCGACCCUUGUACCUAGACCAACCGAGAUACAUUGUAGCUAGUUGUGAGUAACGAUUAGUGUUCUCUACGGAAACGCCUAGUCUCGACUGGGAUUAGAAACAGAGAUUGUCGACUCCUCACUGGCGACAGAGAGGAACAUACGAGUGACGCGCAUGAAUGGAUUAACGAGAUUCCCACUGUCCCUGUCUACUAUCUAGCGAAACCACAGCCAAGGGAACGGGCUUGGACUUCAAUGCGGGGAAAGAAGACCCUGUUGAGCUUGACUCUAAUCUGUCUUCGUAAAGAGACUUGAAAAGUGUAGCGUAGAUGGGAGUGGCAACACGUCAAUGAAACACCAUUAUUUUCAUUGUUUCUUUACUUACUUGGUUAUACAGAGAUUGGAUUUUACAUCCAGUGUUUGAGUGACAAACGUCGAUACUUGUAUCAACGUGAUCUGCUUCAAGGAAAGAGACAGGUGGGGAGUUUGGCUGGGGCGGUACAUCUAUCAAAUGUUAACGUAGGUGUCCAAAAGUUGACUCAGUGCGGACAGAAACCACACAUUGAGUAAAAGGGCAUAAGUCAGCUUGAUUUAGAUUUUCAGUACGAAUACAGACGGAGAAAUCCGGGCCUAUCGAUCCUUUUGAUUUAACGAGUUUUUUGCAAGAGGUGACAGAAAAGUUACCACAGGGAUAACUGGCUUGUGGCGGCCAAGCGUUCAUAGCGACGUCGCUUUUUGAUCCUUCGAUGUCGGCUCUUCCUAUCAUUGCGAAGCAGACUUCGCAAAGUGUUGGAUUGUUCACCCACCAAUAGGGAACGUGAGCUGGGUUUAGACCGUCGUGAGACAGGUUAGUUUUACCCUACAUUGGAUUUUGUCAUUGAUAUAGGAAUCGUACUUAGUACGAGAGGAACCGUACGUUCGGACAUUUGGUUUACGUAUUUGUUCGAAAGGACAAUGAUGCGAAGCUACCAUCCGACGGCUUACAACUGAACGCCUCUAAGUUGGAAUCCGAUCUAGACUCAAUGAUUUUUUGGCACAUUGGUUGUCGUCAGUACAUUUAUAUAUGUUCAAACUGUUGAUCAAGUGAACAUAUGAAUGAAGCUACCGUAUUGUUGCCUCGUCAUAAUCGAAAUGAGAUUGUGAUUGCAACGAUGCAUUUUUAGUCGAAACAACACUAAUGGCUAGAAUCGAUUGUAAACGACUUUCUUCAGUAACAGAGUAACGUACACGUGAGAGCAACCGCCACAUUGCGAUCCGCUGAGUUUCUGCUCGAUGUUAUGCUGAUUC